rnacentral:rRNA from 1 species
GUCCACGCCCUAAACGAUGUCAACUGGUUGUUGGGAAUUUGUUUUCUCAGUAACGAAGCUAACGCGUGAAGUUGACCGCCUGGGGGAGUACGGCCGCAAGGUUGAAACUCAAAAGGAAUUGACGGGGACCCGCACAAGCGGUGGAUGAUGUGGUUUAAUUCGAUGCAACGCGAAAAACCUUACCCACCUUUGACAUGUACGGAAUCCUUUAGAGAUAGAGGAGUGCUCGAAAGAGAACCGUAACACAGGUGCUGCAUGGCUGUCGU